rnacentral:rRNA from 1 species
UACGUAGGGGUCGAGCGUUGUCCGGAUUUACUGGGCGUAAAGAGCGCGCAGGCGGUCGUUCAAGUCGCGUGUGAAAGCCCCCCGGCUCAACUGGGGAGGGUCACGCGAUACUGAUCGACUCGAAGGCAGGAGAGGGUAGUGGAAUUCCCGGUGUAGUGGUGAAAUGCGUAGAUAUCGGGAGGAACACCAGUGGCGAAGGCGACUACCUGGCCUGUUCUUGACGCUGAGGCGCGAAAGCUAGGGGAGCAAACGGGG